rnacentral:sRNA from 1 species
AUUCUGCCCAUGCGGGGAAGGAUGAGAAGCUUCGACUAAGGUUCGACUCGAGCGCCAGCGAGAGAGCGUUGCCGCAGGCAACGACCCGUAGGGCGAAGCGCACAGCGCUGAGUAAUCCUUCCCCCACCACCA